ensembl:lncRNA
UAGCAGAGUCACGUCUGGAGAAUGACCCGUUUUAUCUAAUCCUUACCAGGAGGCAAGACGGAGCAGUUGCUGAAUCCUGCUCCUUGGAAAGCCACACAAGUAUUUCAAAUAGAAUUUCUAAUAGUUGAUACCUUAAGGUAAUGAAAAGACUUUUGAAGAGCUUUUUUUUUUUUCCCCCUUUUUUUUUUAUUUUUUUUUCUUUUCCUUAGGUCCUUCCUUUUCUAUGACAGAUUGUUAAAAGUAUACAGAGAGGUCCUCAGAAUAAAUCUGCAUAGUUAAGUUGACUUCAGUGGUUUCUUGACAAUUGGAGUGAGUUGAACUCCUAGCCUUGUAAUUUAGAGCAUAAGACCCAUGUCAGGUCUGGUCUAGGCCAUCAGCUGCUCUCCAGCAGUGACCAAUAGUGUAUACCUAGGGAAAAACAUAAGAAUAAGACUUUUUGACUGAGGCAGAGAUUAUAUCUUUAAAGUCCUUGAUGGAUUGUUUUUUUCUUCCAUCAGUUUGGCUGCCGACCAUUUUACCUCAAAUAUAUUUCUGCCUCAUAGCCAUGAAUUCGACUAGAUGUUUAACUGACUAGUUUAAUUAAGCCAACAGUUUAACUAGAUGUUGGAAAGCUAUCUCUUGAUUGUUUUGAACUUGUUCCCUAAUCCAUCUAUUUGUUGUCCCCUAGUUCUAUUUGAGAAACAAUGACAAAUUUUUUCUAUUAACUUCUUCAUUUCUGAUUGCACAGACCUGUGUCACAUCAACUUCAGUUAUCUCUUUUUCUUUCUUGUUUUUUUUGUCUUGACAAAGAAACGAUUCAAUAUAUUUGCUCAUCCUUCUCCCUGACUUGAGUUCUCUUAUUUCCUGUUUCAAGAUGAGAACAGAUCCAAACAAAUACUACCCAGAGACCCCUUACUGUCUUUGAAGACUGCAGUGAUUUUUUAAAUAAUGCUGUAUAAAAAUGACAUAUGUGAAACACAAAGAAAUUUGUUGGAGACUUGCAACACUUAAGAAUGUUUAAGCUGAUACUUCCUUACAUGACAAGAGUGAAAAUAGACCGAGCAUCAGUUACACUUGAUGGAAACCCCCUAACAUCAACAGAACCAGUACAGACCCCAGGUCCUUUAUCUUACUUCUCAGACAGUAGUUUGGCAGCUCUAUAUAUGAUAAUGCACCGUCUUCCCUGAAUUCUGUGAGGUGAAGAUUAAGCUGACAGAUGGUAUCAGCAGAAGAAUGAUUAUGAGUUUUAAAAACCUUGAUAUUUUGGCUUAGUACAUCAUUUUUCAUGCAAAUACUGACACGGAUAUUAGCAUCCAAUUAGGAAAGUAUAAAACUAUGCCAUUCUGUUACAGUUUACGUUACAAUCAUUUACUGUUUCAUUAAAAAUACUAAGAAAGACCGCUCUAAAAGGGAUAAAAAAAAAUCAAUGAUGUAACUUUUACAUCUGCUAUUUUGCUGUUCUGGUACUGUGUGGUAGUGAAAAUGGGCUACACAUCUCUUUUAAAUUAUUCUGCUAAUUAUUCUGACUGAGGUGCUGCUCCCAUUUUUGGGUCCUAAAAAAGUACUUAGACAUGGCUAGGGCUGAAAGGCUUGUGAUGAACCUGGGCUGAUUUAUUUCCAUAGGUUAUAUUAUGUCUAAAUAUACACACCUGUUAGUCAGACAAGGACCAUCAGUGAUACGUGCUAGCCAGUGAUUUAAACCCCAAAAAACAACUGAUGAUCUACAUGAAAAUGUUUUUAAAUGCCCUCUCUCAAUUCCAGUGCAUCAGAGUAAGAAAAUAAGGAAAUACGGACCAUUCAGAGUCUGAAGAACAGUCAUGGAUAAGUAGAAAGAAAAUCAACACUCACCAGACAUUUAACUUGUGGUUGUGGUGGUGGCUGUUGAUGACAUUUCUUGGUGGCACACUUUUCUUCACUUUCGUGCAAUGUCUGAGCCAACUCUGGAGGAGAAACAACUUUUAAGUUAAAGAAUUAGAACUUAAAAACUGAAAGUCUAAUUUUUUGACCAAGGAAAAGAGAUCACUGUUUCUUCGCGCUACCCUUCCUCUGCAAAAAAGAGAUUUCCCUGUCCUCUGUAGUAUGGGUGCUCUUGUGAUGCAAAGCAGUGGGUAAGGAAAAGGAGAGAUUGUGAAAUAUCCAGGGAACUGCAACCCAGGCAGGGCUUUAGCAUUGCUACUUCACAUCACUUUUCAAAAAUAGGGAAUAAACGAAAAGAAAUUUCUCA